CAGCAGUGAGGAAUAUUGGUCAAUGGCCUAACGGCUGAACCAGCAACUUGGAGGAAUGUAUAGCAAUAGCUACUUGCAUCAUUGUAAAAAUGAUGCAGGAUCGACUAUGUCGAAUAAAAUUCUAGGUAGAAUUUUGAUAAUGACAGCUUCUGCCUAUGUGUCUUGACCAAAUUACGUGCCAGCAGUCGCGGUAAUACGUAGAAGACUAGUGUUAUUCAUGUUUAAUCGGUUUAAAGGGUACCUAGACGGUAAAUCAAGCCUAAAAUUAAAUGAAGGGACUAAUUUACUAGAGUUACUUAUGAGGGGGUAUUAAAGUACUGCUGGUGUAGAGAUGAAAUUCUGUCAUACCUCUUUUCAAUAGAAAAAUAAUGGCACAGGUAUAGGCGAAAGCAUCCCCUUAUGUGAUAACUGACGUUGAGGGACGAAGGCUUUGUGUAGCGAACAGGAUUAGAUACCCCAGUAGUCAAAGCAGAAAAUGAUGAAUGUCAUAGAUUAGAUAAAUAAGUUUAUUCUAUAAAUGAAAGUGUAAGCAUUCCACCUCAAGAGUAAUUUGGCAACAUUGGAACUGAAAUCAUUAGACCGUUUCUGAAACCAGUAGUGAAGUAUGUUAUUUAAUUCGAUGAUCCGC
rnacentral:rRNA from 1 species